UGCUUUGUGCAGUGGCAGUAUCGUAGCCAAUGAGGUUUAUCCAAGGCAUGAUUAUUGCUAAUUGGAAAAUAGUUAUAGGCUGUGUAGCUUUUAAACUUGCAAAUCCUUUUGUGCUACUUGGCCAUAUUUUAUUGAUAGUUAUUACUG